CAGAUUAUAGCUUAAUUGGUUAAGCAUUUUAUUUACACUAAUUAUAAGAUUUGUUCGAUUCAAUUUGAUCUGA
rnacentral:tRNA from 1 species